UAAUUUGAGAGUUUGAUCCUGGCUCAGGACGAACGCUGGCGGCGUGCCUAAUACAUGCAAGUCGAACGAACUCUGGUAUUGAUUGGUGCUUGCAUCAUGAUUUACAUUUGAGUGAGUGGCGAACUGGUGAGUAACACGUGGGAAACCUGCCCAGAAGCGGGGGAUAACACCUGGAAACAGAUGCUAAUACCGCAUAACAACUUGGACCGCAUGGUCCGAGCUUGAAAGAUGGCUUCGGCUAUCACUUUUGGAUGGUCCCGCGGCGUAUUAGCUAGAUGGUGGGGUAACGGCUCACCAUGGCAAUGAUACGUAGCCGACCUGAGAGGGUAAUCGGCCACAUUGGGACUGAGACACGGCCCAAACUCCUACGGGAGGCAGCAGUAGGGAAUCUUCCACAAUGGACGAAAGUCUGAUGGAGCAACGCCGCGUGAGUGAAGAAGGGUUUCGGCUCGUAAAACUCUGUUGUUAAAGAAGAACAUAUCUGAGAGUAACUGUUCAGGUAUUGACGGUAUUUAACCAGAAAGCCACGGCUAACUACGUGCCAGCAGCCGCGGUAAUACGUAGGUGGCAAGCGUUGUCCGGAUUUAUUGGGCGUAAAGCGAGCGCAGGCGGUUUUUUAAGUCUGAUGUGAAAGCCUUCGGCUCAACCGAAGAAGUGCAUCGGAAACUAGGAAACUUGAGUGCAGAAGAGGACAGUGGAACUCCAUGUGUAGCGGUGAAAUGCGUAGAUAUAUGGAAGAACACCAGUGGCGAAGGCGGCUGUCUGGUCUGUAACUGACGCUGAGGCUCGAAAGUAUGGGUAGCAAACAGGAUUAGAUACCCUGGUAGUCCAUACCGUAAACGAUGAAUGCUAAGUGUUGGAGGGUUUCCGCCCUUCAGUGCUGCAGCUAACGCAUUAAGCAUUCCGCCUGGGGAGUACGGCCGCAAGGCUGAAACUCAAAGGAAUUGACGGGGGCCCGCACAAGCGGUGGAGCAUGUGGUUUAAUUCGAAGCUACGCGAAGAACCUUACCAGGUCUUGACAUACUAUGCAAAUCUAAGAGAUUAGACGUUCCCUUCGGGGACAUGGAUACAGGUGGUGCAUGGUUGUCGUCAGCUCGUGUCGUGAGAUGUUGGGUUAAGUCCCGCAACGAGCGCAACCCUUAUUAUCAGUUGCCAGCAUUAAGUUGGGCACUCUGGUGAGACUGCCGGUGACAAACCGGAGGAAGGUGGGGAUGACGUCAAAUCAUCAUGCCCCUUAUGACCUGGGCUACACACGUGCUACAAUGGAUGGUACAACGAGUUGCGAACUCGCGAGAGUAAGCUAAUCUCUUAAAGCCAUUCUCAGUUCGGAUUGUAGGCUGCAACUCGCCUACAUGAAGUCGGAAUCGCUAGUAAUCGCGGAUCAGCAUGCCGCGGUGAAUACGUUCCCGGGCCUUGUACACACCGCCCGUCACACCAUGAGAGUUUGUAACACCCAAAGUCGGUGGGGUAACCUUUUAGGAACCAGCCGCCUAAGGUGGGACAGAUGAUUAGGGUGAAGUCGUAACAAGGUAGCCGUAGGAGAACCUGCGGCUGGAUCACCUCCUUU
rnacentral:rRNA from 1 species